rnacentral:rRNA from 1 species
AGAUUGAACGCUGGCGGCAGGCCUAACACAUGCAAGUCGAGCGGUAGAGAGGUGCUUGCAGUCUCUUGAGAGCGGCGGACGGGUGAGUAAUGCCUAGGAAUCUGCCUAGUGGUGGGGGAUAACGUUCGGAAACGGACGCUAAUACCGCAUACGUCCUACGGGAGAAAGCGGGGGACCUUCGGGCCUCGCGCCAUUAGAUGAGCCUAGGUCGGAUUAGCUCGGUUGGUGAGGUAUGGCUCACCGAAGGCGAACGAUACCGUAACUGGUCUGAGAGAUAGAUC